GUUUCAUUUAAAAUUUUAAUAGAAUUUUAUUUUUUAGUUAAAAAGCUAAAAUUAAAUCAAAAGACGAGAAGACCCUAUAAAUCUUAAUUAUUUGAGUAAUUUUAAUUAAUUUUGAAUAAGUUUAUUGUUAUUAUUUAAAUAAUUUUAUUGGGGUGAUAUUAAAAUUUAAUAAACUUUUAAUUGUUAAUAUCAUUUAUUUAUGAUUAAUUGAUCCAUUUUUAGUGAUUAAAAAAUUAAGUUACUUUAGGGAUAACAGCGUAAUUUUUUUGGAGAGUUCUUAUCGAUAAAAAAGUUUGCGACCUCGAUGUUGGAUUAAGAUUCAUAUUUAAAUGCAGAAGUUUAAAUAUUAAGUCUGUUCGACUUGUAUUUCUUACAUGAUCUGAGUUCAAACCGGCGUGAGCCAGGUUGGUUUCUAUCUUUGAUUUAUUUAUACAUUUUAGUACGAAAGGAAUAAAUUUAUAUUUUUAAAAAAUUUAUAAUAUGAAU
rnacentral:rRNA from 1 species